CCUACGGGUGGCUGCAGUGGGGAAUAUUGGACAAUGGGGGGAACCCUGAUCCAGCCAUGCCGCGUGUGUGAAGAAGGCCCUCGGGUUGUAAAGCACUUUCAGUGAGGAAGAACGCCUGGUGGUUAAUACCCAUCAGGAAAGACAUCACUCACAGAAGAAGCACCGGCUAACUCCGUGCCAGCAGCCGCGGUAAUACGGAGGGUGCGAGCGUUAAUCGGAAUUACUGGGCGUAGAGCGCGCGUAGGUGGCUUGAUAAGCCGGUUGUGAAAGCCCCGGGCUCAACCUGGGAACGGCAUCCGGAACUGUCAAGCUAGAGUGCAGGAGAGGAAGGUAGAAUUCCCGGUGUAGCGGUGAAAUGCGUAGAGAUCGGGAGGAAUACCAGUGGCGAAGGCGGCCUUCUGGACUGACACUGACACUGAGGUGCGAAAGCGUGGGUAGCAAACAGGAUUAGAUACCCUAGUAGUC
rnacentral:rRNA from 1 species